rnacentral:rRNA from 1 species
AAAUUGAAGAGUUUGAUCAUGGCUCAGAUUGAACGCUGGCGGCAGGCCUACCAUUACGCAAGUCGAACGGUAACAGGAAGCAGCUUGCUGCUUCGCUGACGAGUGGCGGACGGUGAGUAAUGUCUGAAACUGCCUGAUGGAGUGGGGAUAACUACUGAAACGGUGGCUAAUACCGCAUAACGUCGCAAGACCAAAGAGGGGACCCGGGCCUCUGCCAUCAGAUGCGCCCAGAUGGGAUUAGCUUGUUGGCGAGGUAACGGCUCACCGUUAUGACGAUCUCAGUUGGUUCGAGAGGAUGACCCGCCACACUGGAAUCCGGAGACACGGUCCAGACUCCUACGGGCAAGGGCAGCAGUGGGGAAUAUUGCACAAUGGGCGCAAGCCUUCCGAUGCAGCCAUGCUGCGUGUAUGAAGAAGGCCUUCGGGUUGUAAAGCACUUUCUUUCAGCGGGAGGAAGGUGUUGUAUAAUAACCACAGCACUGACGUUACCCGCAGAAGAAGCACCGGCUAACUCCCGUGCCAGCAGCCGCGGUAAUACGGAGGCGCAAGCGUUAAUCGGAAUUACUGGGCGUAAGCGCACGCAGGCGGCCUCGUCGUCGGAUGUGAAAUCCCCGGGCUCAACCUGGAACUGCAUUCGAAAACUGGCAGGCUUGAGUCUGUGUAGAGGGGUAGAAUUCGUGUGCAGCGGUGAAAUGCGUAGAGAUCUGAGGAAUACCGGUGGCGAAGGCGGCCCUCGACAAACUGACGCUCAGGUGCGAAAGCGUAGAGCAAACAGGAUUAGAUUACCCGUAGUCCACGCCGUAAACGAUGUCUACUUGGAGGUUGUGCCCUUGAGGCGGCUUCCGGAGCUAACGCGUUAUAGACCGCCCGGGAGUACGGCCGCAAGGUUAAAACUCGCCGAAUUCGACGGGGCCCGUACAAGCGGUGGAGCAUGGUUUACCUGAUGCAAUUGCAAGAACUCCACCGUCUUGGACAUCCACGGAAGUUUUCAGAGAUGAGAAUGUGCUCGGGAACCGUGAGACAGGUGCUGCAUGGCUGUCGUCACCGUAAGCGGUGAAAUGUUGCUAAGUCCCAACGAGCGCAACCCUAUCCUUUGCCGCCAGCGAACCGGCUGAACUAAAGGGAGACCGCCAGUGAUAAAUUGAGGAAGGUGAUGACGUCAGUCAUCAUGGCCCUGAUGACCAGUAUUACACACGUGCUACAAUGGCGCAUACAAAGAAGAAGCGACCCGCGAGAGCCAAAGCGACCUCAUAAAGUGCGUCAGUCCGGAUUGUUCGCAACUCGACUCCAUGAAGUCGGAAUCGCUGGUAAUCGAUCAGAAUGCUACGGUGAAUACGUUCCCGGCCUUGUACACACCGCCCGUCACACCAUGGGAGUGGGUUGCAAAAGAAGUAGGUGUAGCUUAACCUUCGGGAGUGGCGCCACCACUUGUGAUCCACUGGGGGUGAAGGUAACAAGGUAACCGUAGGGGAACCUGCGGUUGGAUCACCCUUACC